AUGGGUCUCUGCUGCUCCUGGGAGAGGGGGGAGGCUGAUUUACAUGCAGGGGAUAAGUGGGGGGGGGGGAGGGCUCCAGCCCAGCACCCUGCCCACGUGGCUGGAACCGAGCAGGCACUAGAUGUCUGGGGCCUCAGGAAGGAAAUGCGGGCCUGUGCGGUCUGUGCCUUUGAAACGGCCAGGGUUGCCUGGCACGCAAGCGACAACGGCGAACGGGGCGCAUGGAGUAUGGAGUUCUCUGGAAGCACCACGGGUGCUGCAGGCUGUGAGGUCCGCGUACCUGUUGCCUGUCCACAAAAAGACCUGGUGGUUGAGCCCCGCAGCUCUGGAAAGGCUAACGAGGAGCAAACGUCCCUGCUGCUGUGCUACUGGUGUCUCUGCCGGGCCUGGGGCUGUCGCCUUGUCACACAGGCAACUCUCCGCUGCUGCUCACACCUGAGCGCAGGCAGGGUGACUGAUCACGUGAGGCCCAGUGGUGGCUCCUGUCUGUCCUGUUCCUACGUAAUGCCGUUGUGGAAGAUCAGGUGUGCAGACCCUUGAGCUGCAGUUCCAGCAAUGGGGAUGGGGGUGGCACCCAGGAAUUUUCAUGUAAUUCUGCUGAGGAAGAUCUAAGUAUCAGAGCUGACAAAUGCAGGAUGAGGAAAAUCUAGCCAUGGGAAGCAGAAUUGGUAGAGUCAGGUCAAGAAGAGAGUCCUCACUUAAAAUAUGCCUCCUUUUUAUGCAGCAAUUCCAAGUCUGGAAAUUUAUCACAAGGGAAUAACAAGACAUGCACAAAUACCCUUGAAAAUCUUUUCAUAUUGCACAUUAUUUGUAAUAAAAAGAAGGAACUAACCUAGAUGGGCUGCGAUUGAUUUGUUAAGUAUGUAAUGAUACAGUCAUAUGAUGCAUUACUUAGCAGGGUUUCAUGUCAUUGAAAAUAAUAAGAUAUGUUAAUUAAAAAUCAGUUAAUAAAACAGUAUUAAGUUACAAUCCCUUUUCAUAAAAUAAACAUAGAAAUAUACACAGAGAUUGAAAACUGGGGUUACUGCUGGGUCAUGUCAUUACACUUAUUUUGUAUGUGUGCUAAUUUUCCUGCAUUUUCCAAAUUCUGUAUAGUGAACGUGUAAUCAUAAUUUGACGCAAUUAUUCUCUGGCAUACAGGCUGGGUUAUUCCUAGAGCAGAAUAGGAAAACCCCAAGUACCUAGGAGAUGCCCACAGAAGGAAUGCAGACAAUGAGAUACCCUUCCCCCAAAGAUUGGAGAAGUUCUAUAUUGAUGGCUUUGUAAAUAGUGGGAGUUCAAUAAACCCCAGGCAGUGUGGUUUUAGGACAAAACAUGGUACAAGUUUAUUUCCAAACCCCACCUGCUAGCAGCUAAGAAGUGCCUAUACAGGGAGGGCUUCCUGGCUCUGAGAUGAGGCCCGGUGGCACUUGUGACAGGAGA
rnacentral:lncRNA from 1 species